AUUGAACGCUGGCGGCAUGCCUUACACAUGCAAGUCGAACGGCAGCACGGGUGCUUGCACCUGGUGGCGAGUGGCGAACGGGUGAGUAAUACAUCGGAACAUGUCCUGUAGUGGGGGAUAGCCCGGCGAAAGCCGGAUUAAUACCGCAUACGAUCUACGGAUGAAAGCGGGGGACCUUCGGGUCUCGCGCUAUAGGGUUGGCCGAUGGCUGAUUAGCUAGUUGGUGGGGUAAAGGCCUACCAAGGCGACGAUCAGUAGCUGGUCUGAGAGGACGACCAGCCACACUGGGACUGAGACACGGCCCAGACUCCUACGGGAGGCAGCAGUGGGGAAUUUUGGACAAUGGGCGAAAGCCUGAUCCAGCAAUGCCGCGUGUGUGAAGAAGGCCUUCGGGUUGUAAAGCACUUUUGUCCGGAAAGAAAUCCUUGGCUCUAAUACAGUCGGGGGAUGACGGUACCGGAAGAAUAAGCACCGGCUAACUACGUG
rnacentral:rRNA from 1 species